GCUAUGAUACGGUAUCUACCUAUGAUACUAGUACACUCUCUCUCAUCCUUAAUUGCACUGCCACAUCAGCAUUUUGCAUGCAUGGAAUGCAUGAUACUACCUAUGAUACUCCCAUUGUGGGUAGUCUAAGGAGAGCCCCAGCACUGUUGUCCCGAGUGUCAAGAUCUUGGGAUUGGAGGUGAGAUUCGCUGUCCGCAAUGAAGUCAAGAAAGUGCCCAGCUUCCUCAGGUGUUUUCCCAACAUCCAGACGCUCCAUGUCAAGUCUGCAACAGCUGAUGAGGCCACCGGCAAGGCUAGUCUCAAGUUAUGGAAAGAGGGCGGUCCCAUUACCUGUGUCCUGCGACAUAUGAAGAAGGUGGUUUUCCACGAGUUCAAAGGUUCGAUAAAUGAGAUUGUGUUCCUCAAGUUCAUCGCUGAGAAUGCUCGCUUUCUGGAGAAGAUGGUGAUUGUGGUGGCCUAUGCAUGUUACUCUUCAGGGGAGGAUGUGAAUUCCAAGCUGAAGCCUCUGACUUGUGCAAAAUGGAUCAGUGGAACUUGUAAACUUCAAGUCUUCAAGAGCCCAUUUGAAGAGACAACAGGCAGUCCAGUUUAUGAUAUCCGAUUGGCAUCUGAGUUUUCGCAAAUUACUGAUCCUUUUGACCUGAUCUAUUAUAGAGAAUCACUGUAAUCGUUGCAAGUUAAUAAGUGGCACUGUUCCUCUUGUAGAAGACUACCUUGGCUUUCUUUUGUUAUCAGAACUGGCAGCAGCUGAUAGAUACCUUUAUUUCAACUGUUAUCUGUACUUAGCUGAGUCCUGUUUCAGUGAGGUUACAACACAAAACCUGACCUUAAUAUGUGCCUAGAUAUUGGUGGUAGUAAGGUUGAAUUUGAUAAUUUUCUAGCUAAGGCAGUGAUUCAUAUUAGAUCCAACUUCUAGUGAUUCUUGGCUGUCCAUCAAGUUUGGCAUCAGUCUACUGUUAUGAAUCGUUGCAAGUGCAGUAUUUCCUCUCGUACAAGACUGCUGGUGGCCUGGUACUCAGAUGUUUUUGUUAUCAGAAUUGACAACAGAUUAUAUAUGAUGUCCAUGUGAGCUUUAA